GGAGAGAUGCCGGAGUGGUCGAUCGGGCCGCACUCGAAAUGCGGUGUACGGGCAACUGUACCGGGGGUUCGAAUCCCUCUCUCUCCGCCA
rnacentral:tRNA from 6 species